ACUUGAAUAGCUUAUGUUUAGAGCGCGACACUGAAGAUGUCGAUGAGGUAUAUACUAUCUUUAAGUG
rnacentral:tRNA from 1 species